GUGUCAGUCGCCGCGGUAAUACGUAGGGGCCGAGCGUUGUCCGGAGUUACUGGGCGUAAAGCGCGCGCAGGCGGCUCGUCAAGCCUGACGUGAAAGCCCCCGGCUCAACCGGGGAGGGUCGUCGGGGACUGGCGAGCUUGAGGUCGGCAGGGGCUGGUGGAAUUCCCGGUGUAGUGGUGAAAUGCGUAGAGGUCGGGAGGAACACCCGUGGCGAAGGCGGCCAGCUGGGCCGGACCUGACGCUGAGGCGCGAAGGCGUGGGGAGCGAACGGGAUUAGAUACCCCGGUAGUCCACGCAGUAAACGAUGCAGACUAGGCGUGGGGGGACUUGACCCCCUCCGUGCCGAAGCCAACGCGUGAAGUCUGCCGCCUGGGGAGUACGGCCGCAAGGCUAAAACUUAAAGGAAUUGACGG
rnacentral:rRNA from 1 species